rnacentral:rRNA from 1 species
UACGUAGGGACCAAGCGUUGUCCGGAAUUAUUGGGCGUAAAGAGCUCGUAGGCGGUCUGUCGCGUCGGCUGUGAAAACCUGGGGCUUAACUCCGGGCCUGCAGCCGAUACGGGCAGACUAGAGUUCGGCAGGGGAGACUGGAAUUCCUGGUGUAGCGGUGAAAUGCGCAGAUAUCAGGAGGAACACCGGUGGCGAAGGCGGGUCUCUGGGCCGAUACUGACGCUGAGGAGCGAAAGCGUGGGGAGCGAACAGG